rnacentral:rRNA from 1 species
UACGAGGGGGGCAAGCGUUGUUCGGAAUUACUGGGCGUAAAGGGCUCGUAGGCGGCCAACUAAGUCGGAUGUGAAAUCCCCAGGCUCAACCUGGGAACUGCAUCCGAUACUGGAUGGCUUGAAUCCGGGAGAGGGAUGCAGAAUUCCAGGUGUAGCGGUGAAAUGCGUAGAUAUCUGGAGGAAUACCGGUGGCGAAGGCGGCAUCCUGGACCGGCAUUGACGCUGAGGAGCGAAAGCUAGGGGAGCAAACGGG